rnacentral:rRNA from 1 species
GACGAACGCUGGCGGCGUGCCUAAUACAUGCAAGUCGAACGCAGUGGGGACGGGUGCGUAACACGUGGGUAACCUCCCAUCAGAGGGGAUAACACUUGGAAACUGGUGCUAAACCGCUACUGAUGGAUGGACCCGCGGGGGAUUAGCUUCUUGGAGAGGUAACGGCCCACCAAGGCCACGAUGCAUAGCCGGCCUGAGAGGGUGACCGGCCACACUGGAACUGAGACACGGCCCAGACUCCUACGGGAGGCAGCAGUGGGGAAUCUUCGGCAAUGGGCGAAAGUCUGACAGAGCAACGCCGCGUGAGUGAAGAAGGUUUUCGGAUCGUAAAGCUCUGUUAGUGGAGAAGCGGUAUCUAACCAGGAAGCAACGGCUAACUACGUGCCAGCAGCCGCGGUAAUAC